AAGUCGUAACAAGGUUUCCGUAGGUGAACCUGCGGAAGGAUCAUUAGUGAAACAAGCGUGUCUGCCUCGAGCAGAGCGCAACCUCUCACUCUUCUCACACUGUGCACUUUGAAAAACUUGGAACGCGGCGCGAAAGCGUCGAUGUUCCUUCACUUUUUAAAACACGAGUUGAUGUAUGUAAAAACACAUAACAAAGAAAAACUUUCAACAACGGAUCUCUUGGCUCUCG
rnacentral:misc_RNA from 1 species